rnacentral:rRNA from 1 species
AACGAACGCUGGCGGCAUGCCUAACACAUGCAAGUCGAACGAGAUCUUCGGGUCUAGUGGCGCACGGGUGCGUAACGCGUGGGAAUCUGCCCUCUGGUUCGGAAUAACAGUUGGAAACGACUGCUAAUACCGGAUGAUGACGAAAGUCCAAAGAUUUAUCGCCAGAGGAUGAGCCCGCGUAGGAUUAGCUAGUUGGUGUGGUAAAGGCGCACCAAGGCGACGAUCCUUAGCUGGUCUGAGAGGAUGAUCAGCCACACUGGGACUGAGACACGGCCCAGACUCCUACGGGAGGCAGCAGCGGGGAAUAUUGGACAAUGGGCGAAAGCCUGAUCCAGCAAUGCCGCGUGAGUGAUGAAGGCCUUAGGGUUGUAAAGCUCUUUUACCCGGGAUGAUAAUGACAGUACCGGGAGAACAAGCUCCGGCUAACUCCGUGCCAGCCGCCGCCGUAA